GCCUUGAUGGUGAAAUGGUAGACACGCGAGACUCAAAAGUGCGUGCUGAAGAGCGUGGAGGUUCGAGUCCUCUUCAAGGCA
rnacentral:tRNA from 1 species